GCGGCCUGCGGAGAUGGCAUGCCUCCCUGCGGUCGUUCCGGCGCAUGGCGCGCGCGGUGCGGCCCUCAACCGCCGGUUUGCCCGGCUGAUGAUGCCUGCGUGUUC
ncrna:Burkholderia cenocepacia AT 1054 Fluoride riboswitch